rnacentral:tRNA from 1 species
GGGAAGAUGGCCGAGUUGGUUGAAGGCGCCGGAUUGUAACUCCGGAGAGGGUCCCCUCCACGUUGGUUCGAAUCCAACUCUUCCCACCA